rnacentral:tRNA from 1 species
GCGCCGGUGGUGUAAGGCGAACAUCGCUGCCCGGAAAGCGGAAGAUGUGGGUUCGAGUCCCGCCUGGCGCA